AUGGCGAGCAGGGCCGGCGCCGUGAGCGCGGGGGCGGCGGCGGACACGGGCAGCCCGAGCGCGCGUUUGGCGGCGGCGGGGGCAGGGGAGGAGGAGGCCGGGGCGGGGAAGGUGAAGCUGCUGUGCAGCUACGGGGGCCGGAUCGCGCCGAGGUCGGGGGACGGGGCGCUGCGCUACGUGGGCGGCCAGAUGCGCCUCAUCUCCGUGCCCCGCGCCGCCUCCUUCGCGGACCUCAUGCGCAAGGUCGAGGCCGUCGACGACGCCGCCGGACCCGCCCCCGCCGCCGCCGGCGGGGGGGCGCUCGUCAAGUACCAGCUCCCCGGGGAGGACCUGGACUCGCUCGUCUCGGUGUCCUGCGCCGAGGACUACGACAACAUGCUGGAGGAGUACGAGAAGCUGGCCGCCGCCGCGCCCGACGGCUCCGCCAAGCUCCGGGUCUUCCUCUUCCCGGCCGACUCCGCCUCCGGCUCCGGCUCGCACCCCGCCGCCGUCGACGAGGCCGGGCAGCGCUACAUCGACGCCGUCCGCCGCAGGGAGAGCGGCUCCUCCGCGCACAACUCCGAGGCCUCCGAGCCCGCCGGCCUCGCCGAAGGUACAGAGCGGGUUUUGGAGAAUCUUCAUUUCUCACGGCCAAUGCAAACUCCAGUUGAUCCGAAUUACAGGGUGCUCCAGCCACUUUCAGAGCUUCCUCCUCUGCCUCAUACGACUUUGCAGGCAAGUGAUGCUCAGAGGUAUGGCGUCCAGACGGUGCUCACAAGCACGGCAAGCUCACCAGUGAUAACGAGCUCGAGGGCAUUCCCAGUGGUGGUAAGCUCAGCUACCGUGCCAACACUGAGGUACGAUGACUGCAUGAUGUGCCAGAAAAUACUGCCGCAUGCCCAUUCGGAUAACAUGAUACAGGAGCAGGGAAAUCCUCGCGCACUGAAUUAUCCUGAUGUUAGUCCAGUGUUUUACAGCCUCCAUCAAGAGGAUGCAACCAAACAACAGGUUCCAGCUGCGGUUCCAGUAACAUCUGCUAAUUACAUAUCAGAACCCAGAGCCGAGAGCACAGCAGGGAUGACCCAGUUUGAUCCAAAACUUUCUGCCAGAAAUCCAGCAGUUCAAGCAGCACCAUCUCAAGAUGCAGGAACGUUGGUUCAACCCACCAUGGUUACUGUACCUCUUUCCAGUAUACCUACUUCAAAUGGAGUUUUUGUAGGGCAACCUCCACACACGCUUGCUGAAGAUUUUCUCAUGUACCAACGUCAGCAGCAACACCCUUACAGUAUGCAAACAACUCAAGUCCUGGCAAAUGGAGUCAGCAGCAAUCCACAAGGGAUUGAUGCUAGUGCAUUUAAGAAUUCAAAUCAUCCAGUAGAAGAACCAAUUGGAGAAUAUGCUCAUGAUGUUCCUCAUGAUUGUGUCAGAGCUAUCGAUGCUCGGAUGCAAGGAAUUCAGUUAGGUCCUAUUGCUCCUCCAGAAUCUAUUGUGCAAGGGAAGUCAGCUAUUCCCCAUGGUGCUGUUGGCGAUGGGAUAGUUGAGAAGCCACCUGUUAUUAUUGAUGGCAGUCCCAUAUACAAAUCUCAAGCUGGAGGUUAUCACAUGGGCACUAGCAAUGCUUUUCCUGUCCCUUCUUUUAUCCUAGAGGACAAUGUUGUGAGACAUACUGAACAACCACCUCCCUCUCGAAAUGUUGGUGCGAACAACGUCUAUCCUGAGGUUAUCCAGCAGCCAAGUAUGUUACUCAAGAACAACCUUGGUGUGCCCAUUGAACAUCCUGUUCCGAGCGAAAGAUUUCUUGUGAGGCCUGCUUACUCUGGUGUUCAGUCUCCUGCUGGACCUCCUGCACAUCAUCCUGGGGAAAUGCUGAAUGGCAUGGUUUCCGCUCCCUAUAAUGUUAGUAGUCAAGUUGUAUUGCAGGCUGCUGCUAGUACUGAUUGUGUCGAAGCUACACAUGAACCAGCUUACACAGAAUCUCUUUUCUCAAACCAGGAUCCUUGGAAAGCAAUUGGAAAUGCUUCGGCAGUACCUCCAACAUCAAACAUGUUGGCUAAGGAACAUGUUCUUUCUGGAGAUCCAUAUGUGGAUGGCCAUGUUCCUGCAAUUACAAGUUCAAAUGCUGCCAUGCUAUUAGAAGAAGGCAAUCUUCCACUCAUUCAUGACCCUACUUUCAAGGAUAUAUACCCAGAACCUGCUCAAAUAAGCAAAGGAUAUGGAGAAGAAAUUGUCAAACGUCAAUUACAAGCUGUCGCUGAAGGUGUGGCAGCAUCUGUUCUGCAGUCACCAUUUCCUGAAAAACCAACUGAAUUUUCUGGGGAUCACAAAGAUUUGCCUGGAGAUGUAAUUGAUCCAAAAAAUGAGGAUGCGCCGAGCAAACAGUCAGACAAAACAAGCCAAGGAGUUCCAGUUCUAGAUGACAUCGAUAACCUUCAGAUAAUAAAGAACAGUGAUCUUGAAGAAUUGCGUGAACUAGGUUCUGGAACCUUUGGUACCGUUUACCAUGGAAAAUGGAGAGGUUCUGAUGUCGCUAUAAAAAGGAUAAGCGAUCGAUGUUUUGUUGGGAAGCCUUCUGAGGAACAGCGCAUGAAAACCGAUUUCUGGAAUGAAGCUUGCAAGCUUUCAUCGUUGCACCAUCCAAAUGUCGUUGCUUUUUACGGUGUUGUUCUGGAUGGACCAGGUGGAUCUGUUGCAACAGUCACUGAGUACAUGGCUAAUGGUUCGCUUCGACAAGCAUUACAAAGACAUGAAAAGAUAUUCGACAGGCGUAGGCGCCUGCUAAUUGUGAUGGAUGUUGCAUUUGGUAUGGAAUAUUUGCACGGGAAGAACAUUGUGCACUUCGACUUGAAGAGUGAUAAUCUGCUCGUCAACCUAAGAGAUCCCCAACGCCCUAUAUGCAAGGUCGGUGAUUUGGGCUUAUCAAAGGUUAAAUGCCAGACACUAAUCUCCGGUGGGGUGCGAGGGACACUUCCCUGGAUGGCUCCUGAGCUGUUAAAUGGCAGCAGUAACCUUGUUUCUGAAAAGGUCGACGUCUUCUCAUUCGGAAUCGUGAUGUGGGAGCUGCUUACCGGUGAAGAGCCUUAUGCUGACCUGCAUUAUGGCGCCAUCAUAGGUGGGAUCGUGAACAACACCCUACGGCCGCUGGUGCCCGAGUCGUGCGACCCCCAGUGGAGAUCGCUGAUGGAGCAGUGCUGGUCAGCCGAGCCGAUGGAGCGGCCGAGCUUCACGGAGGUCGUCAAGAGGCUACGGGCUAUGGCGACCUCCCCCACCAAGACGCUGCCGCAGAAGUAG
rnacentral:rRNA from 1 species